rnacentral:rRNA from 1 species
AUUGAACGCUGGCGGCAUGCUUUACACAUGCAAGUCGAACGGUAACAGGCCUUCGGGUGCUGACGAGUGGCGAACGGGUGAGUAAUGCAUCGGAACGUACCCAGAGGUGGGGGAUAACGCAGCGAAAGCUGUGCUAAUACCGCAUGUGAUCUGAGGAUGAAAGCGGGGGACCGAGCAGCAAUGUUUGGCCUCGCGCCUUUGGAGCGGCCGAUGUCGGAUUAGCUAGUUGGUGGGGUAAAGGCCUACCAAGGCGGCGAUCCGUAGCUGGUCUGAGAGGACGACCAGCCACACUGGGACUGAGACACGGCCCAGACUCCUACGGGAGGCAGCAGUGGGGAAUUUUGGACAAUGGGCGCAAGCCUGAUCCAGCAAUGCCGCGUGCGGGAAGAAGGCCUUCGGGUUGUAAACCGCUUUUGGCAGGAACGAAACGGUGUCCGCUAAUACCGGGCGCUAGUGACGGUACCUGCAGAAUAAGCACCGGCUAACUACGUG